CCGGUUUGAUGGGAUGUUUUGUGUAUAUAAAAGGUUAAAUAAAGUUAAAUGUCACAGUUACAGUACAGCAGUUACGUGUUUUAUUAUCAACCCAUUCCAGGUGUAAUAUACAAAGGCCUAAGGGCCCAUGCGUUAUUUUUCUCUUCUUUCUUUCCUGUUUUCUCAUGAUCUAGACUUAAUUUUCUUGCGAUCUUGAUAUUACAACAUGUUUCUUUUAUUGUUCUGGAGGCAGCAAAAGCUUAGUGCAGUCCGGCAGCAUAUGAAUUUUUACUUUGUUGAGGGACUCACUCCAGAUGAAAUAUCUCCGUGUCUGUCAGCGAUUGACGAUUUCCACAUAGGUGUCCGACACUUGAGAAGGGGACACCCCGUCUCUCUUAAUCUUUACAGCGGCCAAUUAUUACAUAUAUGAUGGCGAUGGCCAAUGUGCAUGUAACACCUGCCCCAUUCACAAGGCGUGAGAUUUUCUCCUGAUAAAAUUAUGUUGUGAGAAAAGGUCGAAAACUAGAACAUGUCGAGAUCACAAGAAAACAAGAAAGAAAAAAUAAUAAUGCAUGGCCUUUAAGGACUUCUGUAGUAACACAACUAUAGCACAAUUAUAAUUAACAAGUAUAAAACUUUAAUCAGAUGCCAUUAACCGUGUAUCCCACCUGAAACCUGCACCACUAUAUCUGACUGUUUAUUUUAAAUAAUUUGAAUUACACUUUCCCUUGAGGUAAAAGAGGUGCAUGUUUAUCAUUCUAUAUCAUUUAAAUAAUUUUAAUGCAUCAGUCAAAUGUGGAAAGUUUAGCCAAGCUGAAAUGAUUUGUUACUCCUGACACGUUAAUAAUAUUGCCCCACUGUGAAUAAAGGGUAAGUGCUCAUUUCUUUCUGCUCAGAGUUUAUCCAGGCAAAUGUUUCUUGUUUUUUUUGCACCUUUGAUAACAUGAAGUAUUUCUUUAUACUCUGCUGUAGAUGUGUUCAGAAAUAUAUCUUUCUGCACCCAGUUUAUUAGUCGAAUGGUUUGUUCUUGGUCGAUGAGAUCCCAUCUGCCGUAUUUUUUCACUAUGUCCUUAAAUCCUCUCUUGUAGUAAUCGUUCCUGUCCAUGGCUGCAAGUCCAGACUCACACGUCCUGAAAUGAUGAGGGAUACCUGAGAAUUAAGUAGAACAGUGAUCAUUUGGAUUAGUUCAGCCAGAGUAAAGAAUUUACUAGUUUGUAGUCUUCGUUGUAGCGUACAGGCGUAAAACAAGUAGCAAGAGGACAAAAUCUAAAAACAGACUCUUUUCACUCGUGUAUGUUCAUCUGUUGUAAAUAUAGGUAUAACACGUACCGAGAUCAUUCCAGAUGUGGUCCGAGCAUUGAGGAUGGGCCAUCAUUAAGGAGAGCUUCAGCGCUUUCUCUGUGUCUCCACUUGAAAAGGUUCUCGUCAGGAAAUACCUGCAUGCUCUGGAUUCAGCGCUGUUGCCGCUGCUCAGUGCAUGGUGGUGAUCAGAGGACAGCGCGUUCAUGCAAAGCUGUGUUUUUCCAUUCGGGUCAUGUUUCAUUUUCAUCAUUAAGUAGAAAACGUCCUUGUUUGUUCUGUCUAAUGAAGAAGAAAUCUCGGGGUUUGUUUUGAUGAGAUGAAGGACUGCAGUCCAUGUGGUUUUUGGUGGAAUGUGCUGUGCCUCCACUACUCCUGCUGUGGGCUUCUCCAUGUCUAAAAGGCUUCACAGUAUUUCAUACAAGAUGAUGAUUUAGUAUUGUCAGUAAUUCACUAGAUUUCAUUCCUGUAGUGACUACGAGAAUUUAUGAAGAAAUUUGGCUUAGUAUGUUCAGACUAGUACAUGAAUUCAAUAAGAUCCCUAAAGCAAACGAGUAUAAACAACAUGAAUUUAAAAAUUACCACUUGUGGUCGCCCACUUUUCCAAGUUUGUACUCAUCAAUAAUUUGUUUCGGUGUCUUGUCUUUGGUGUACUUGAUGUACUGCUCCAUAUCACAUUCCCUCACUCCAGCUUGGAUUUUAAAUUUAUUCGAGUUGUUUGUCAUGUUGAAAAUGUUCUGGAUCUUCACAGCAUCUACAUACUUAUUUGGGUUUAAAAGAAUCUGUAACAGAAAAAAAACCAAGAUCUUACGUUAGGUCCCUGUUAAAGAAGUUAUACUCAAACGGUGGGUAAAAAUGAUCUCGUUUAUAAGAUGUUAAAAUGGGAUCUGUACAUGCUGGGAAUUUCAGGAAGUUCACAAUACCAACCAAGUUUGAAAUCUAAAGGAAGAUUAUCACAAAUUAUAUAAUAAACGUCUAAUAAUCACCAAAUCAAAGUGCACUAAUUAAAAAGUAAUAAAUACAUUUUGCCCAUUUAUUUCACCAAUGUUAACCAGUCAAAUUAUCAAGUAAACAAUAAACUUGCUUCACAAGUAUCAAUAAUAAUCAUCACACACGGUCUAAAAUGCCUGUAUUGUACUGCACUAAACAGCCAGCCACCUCACCAAAUGGCUGCUAACACCUUUUCAUAGGUGACUGAACAGUUUUGUUUGUGUAAACUCGAAUUUGCACAAAUUAUUGAUGCAGCCCAGAGAUACGAAAGCACUAAGCCAGCUAACCAAUAUCUGGCAACUAAACUUACAUGGCAUAUUCUUACUUACCUCCUCACUGACUUUCCUACGUAGAUCUUUAGCUUUUUGUAGCACAACAUUGUUUGGGUCGUUAGUUGUUGCUUGGAUGACUGCAUGAAAAAGACAGUCGUGAUUUGAGGACUUCACAGUUUCUCGUGAACCAUCGGGGCGUAUAAUAUCGACAUGGCCACUCUGUGGAAAGUCUUCAGCCUUAAUGCUACGCUUCAGUUUAUUCAAUAUUCCUUCAUUCCUGUGAAAUGAAUUGAAUUACGAGAAUGCAUUUAUGUGACCAAAAAGUAAUGUCUGCACCAACAUCAAAAAGAAUUUAUACAGUGGUACUUAAACGUUUAUAGAAUUUUCUAUAUUUCUCCAUAAAUAUGACCUAAAACAUCAUCAGAUUUUCACUCAAGUCCUAAAAGUAG
ensembl:lncRNA